rnacentral:rRNA from 1 species
UACGUAGGGGGCAAGCGUUGUCCGGAAUUAUUGGGCGUAAAGGGCUUGUAGGCGGUCUGUUACGUCGGCUGUGAAAACCCAGGGCUCAACCCUGGGCCUGCAGUCGAUACGGGCAGACUAGAGUCCGGUAGGGGAGACUGGAAUCCCUGGUGUAGCGGUGAAAUGCGCAGAUAUCAGGGGGAACACCGGUGGCGAAGGCGGGUCUCUGGGCCGGUACUGACGCUGAAAAGCGAAAGCGUGGGUAGCGAACAGG